AAUAUUGGACAAUGGGGGCAACCCUGAUCCAGCCAUGCCGCGUGUGUGAAGAAGGUCUUCGGAUUGUAAAGCACUUUAAGUUGGGUGGAAGGGCUUUAGGUUAAUACCCUGAAGUUUUGACGUUACCAACAGCAUAAGCACCGGCUAACUCUGUGCCAGCAGCCGCGGUAAUACAGAGGGUGCAAGCGUUAAUCGGAAUUCCUGGGCGUAAAGCGCGCGGAGGGGGUUCAAUAAGGAAGGUGUGAAAUCCCCGGGCUUAACCUGGGAACUGCUUUCAUAACUGCUGAGCUAGAGAACGGUAGAGGGUAGUGGAAUUUCCUGUGUAGCGGUGAAAUGCGUAGAUAUAGGAAGGAACACCAGUGGCGAAGGCGACUACCUGGACUGAUACUGACACUGAGGUGCGAAAGCGUGGGGAGCAAAC
rnacentral:rRNA from 1 species